rnacentral:ncRNA from 1 species
UAGUUCGAUACGCAAGCGGGAAGCCGUUCGGGAAUGCUCCGGACGGUUCGGGAAGACGGUGAGAAGCCGUCACGGCCCCGCCACUGUAACCGCCGACGCUCGCUGCCGGGAGGACCGCCUCCAGCCACUGCUCACCUGAGUGGGAAGGCGCAGCGCUUCGUGCACCCACUGCGCACGCGGAUGACGCGGAAGUCAGGAGACCGGCCCACUUGCCGUUGUGCAC